GAGGGGUCACAUGAAACACCUUGCUUCGGGUCAUGUGUCUGCCUUGACCCCGGAAGUAAUACCCACAUGGAGUGGGGCUUCCGAUAACCGGUAGGCAGGGCUUAUUGGGUCAAGGGGGGGGGGUUAGCUUUUGAUUGACAGUAGGGCCUUUACACUCCUCACUCCCGCUACCCAAAAUUGGAAGAAGACAGAGGCAACUAUAAUACUGGGCAGUAUUCGCCGUUGUCCUACUGCUCAGAUGCUGUGCUGGCCAUGUAUCUCGCACACAAGGUCAUAUGUAAAUAACCCAGCUCCAGAUUUUGUAUAUACUGCGCACACAUUUCCUAUUAAACUGUUUGAAGUAUCUGUUUCAAUU